rnacentral:rRNA from 1 species
CGAAUUCGCCCUUCCUACGGGAGGCAGCAGUGGGGAAUAUUGCGCAAUGGGCGGAAGCCUGACGCAGCGACGCUGCGUGGGGGAUGACGGCCUUCGGGUUGUAAACCUCUUUCGACCUUGACGAAGCCUUUCGGGGUGACGGUAGGGGUAGAAGAAGCACCGGCCAACUACGUGCCAGCAGCCGCGGUAAUACGUAGGGUGCGAGCGUUGUCCGGAAUUAUUGGGCGUAAAGAGCUCGUAGGCGGUCUGUCGCGUCGGUCGUGAAAACUUGGGGCUUAACCCUGAGCUUGCGGUCGAUACGGGCAUGACUGGAGUUCGGCAGGGGAGACUGGAAUUCCUGGUGUAGCGGUGAAAUGCGCAGAUAUCAGGAGGAACACCGGUGGCGAAGGCGGGUCUCUGGGCCGAUACUGACGCUGAGGAGCGAAAGCGUGGGGAGCGAACAGGAUUAGAUACCCUGGUAGUCCACGCCGUAAACGGUGGGCGCUAGGUGUGGGGGCCAUUCCACGGUCUCUGUGCCGCAGCUAACGCAUUAAGCGCCCCGCCUGGGGAGUACGGCCGCAAGGCUAAAACUCAAAGGAAUUGACGG